rnacentral:rRNA from 1 species
GACGAACCGUGCGAACGUUGUUCGGAAUCACGUGGCUUAAAGGGCGCGUAGGCGGCUUACAAAGUCAGGGGUGAAAUCUUGCGGCUUAACCGUAAUCAGCCUCUGAUACUGGUAGGCUCGAGGGAGGUAGGGGUAUGUGGAACUUCUGGUGGAGCGGUGAAAUGCGUUGAUAUCAGAAGGAACGCCGGUGGCGAAAGCGACGUACUGGACCUCUUCUGACGCUGAGGCGCGAAAGCUAGGGGAGCAAACGGG